rnacentral:rRNA from 1 species
CAGGGAAUAUUGCGCAAUGGGCGAAAGCCUGACGCAGUAACGCCGCGUGGGGGAUGAAGGCCUUCGGGUUGUAAACCCCUUUCAGGAGGGACGAAAUUGACGGUACCUCCAGAAGAAGCACCGGCCAACUACGUGCCAGCAGCCGCGGUAACACGUAGGGUGCAAGCGUUGUCCGGAAUUAUUGGGCGUAAAGGGCUAGUAGGCGGCUUGGCAAGUCGAGCGUGAAAACUCCAGGCUCAACCUGGAGCUGCCGUUUGAUACUGCCAUGGCUAGAGUCCGGUAGGGGACCACGGAAUUCCUGGUGUAGCGGUGAAAUGCGCAGAUAUCAGGAGGAACACCGGUGGCGAAGGCGGUGGUCUGGGCCGGAACUGACGCUGAAUAGCGAAAGCGUGGGUAGCGAACAG